CAGCGGUGGGCUCCGCCCCGCGUGCGAGUGCGGGGCAGCGUGGCCUUCUUAACACCCUGCCCGCGCCCACGAGGAAGAAGACAUGACUAAUUCCCAGAAUUAAGAACCAUCUUCAGAAAGUAACACAUGGAACGAUUUUCAAACUGACUUUAAUCAUGUUUUGCUGCCCAAAUACUGUACAUGCAGAAGCCACGUGAAGAAUUUCCUCCUCAAGGAUAUUGGCAA